rnacentral:rRNA from 1 species
UACAGAGGUCUCAAGCGUUGUUCGGAUUCAUUGGGCGUAAAGGGUGCGUAGGUGGCGAGGUUAGUCAGGUGUGAAAUCUCGGGGCUCAACCCCGAAACUGCACUUGAUACUGCCUUGCUAGAGUACUGGAGAGGAGAUUGGAAUUUACGGUGUAGCGGUGAAAUGCGUAGAUAUCGUAAGGAAGACCAGUGGCGAAGGCGGGUCUCUGGACAGUUCCUGACGCUGAGGCACGAAGGUCAGGGGAGCAAACGGG